rnacentral:lncRNA from 1 species
AUUUGAAUUGUGUUUAAUUGCUCUGAUAUUGUACCUUUUGGCUUGGAACACUAAACAUAAUGUAAGAAAAGAUUAUGACUUGAAAUAGAUUCAGACUUGCAGUCGGACUAUGUUGAGGACCCUGCCAAUGGGGGCUAAUACAUUGGUACCGCAAGAAGAAUAGUCGGUGAUAUGACCCUACCAUAGGGAACAUGUGAUCAUAGUUCCUGGCUCUUGAGUUGAAUCUGAUAAAUUGAAAGAAAUUAAGAUAUGAACGACAUUUGGUUUUGACAUUGUAUGUUUUUUUUAUAUAACUGAAAUAUGAAAUAUAAAACAAACUGAACUUCGACCUGGCUAUGUUGAGGAUCCUGCCAAUGGAGGCAGAUACGUUGGCAAUUGACUGUCCUGAAGGACUCACUGCAAGAAGAAUAGUCGGUGUUGAUGACCCUGCCACAGGGAACAUGUGGUCAUAGUCCAGGAUCGACAAGAUGAAUUGAAUAUGUGAAAGAAUCUUGAAACCGCGAAAAGAAUCUUAUGAAUUCAAGAAAUAUUUGACUUAUACUUUGGAA